rnacentral:lncRNA from 1 species
GACUAAAUUGGAUGCCAUCCAUGUUGAAAUCUCUAAAAUUUAGAAAACAGAAGACAAUCAAAUUUUAUCAUUUAAAUUUGAUUACAAUCAUCUAAUGUAAAACUCCAUAACUACAAGGUUCUUGAAAUUUAUAAAAAAACUAUUGGGUUGCAGACAUAACAACUUAAUGGAAACUCAUCAACUAUCGUGUCUUACGACUAAUACAUGCAAUCUAAGAAAAGUGUUUGUUUAUGCUCUUGGGUUUAACAACUCUUUAUCUAUUCUACAUUUACAGAAUAUGCUCACACACUUUGCUUUUGUAGGAAUCCGGCAGUAGAGUCUUUUUACACAAUCUUUGUCAUCAAAACAUCGAUAAAACGUCGCUGUAAAAAAAAUAAUAAAUAAAUAAAUUUAUUAAAAUUUAAUUAAAUUUUUUGUACAAAGUAUAAAAGGAAAUUCAAAAUGGAUAAAACUUCUUUACCUUCAACGUUUGUUGAACAUGAUAUAGAAAAAGAUAAAUAACUAAAAACUAUGAACAAACUAAUGAAGAAAAUUUGAAAUGGAUAGAAUUAUUUACCUUCAACAUUCAUUGCAACAAGAGAUAGAAAAAGAAAAAUAAUGAUAUCAUAAACUAAUUUGAUAAUUUGUGCCAUAUUUCUCCCCUUUACAUCUAACAUUUGGUUAAAUAACUUUACGAUUUAUAAAACCUCAUCGUCUCCUUACAUCAAUUAAAUAAUUUUUAGCAAUAAUGAAGUUGUAACAAAUAUCCUAAAUUGUAAUAAUUAUUGAAUGUCUCU